rnacentral:rRNA from 1 species
AUGCCCCGUGAUGUUGUUCCCUUAAAUUUUAAUGUGUUCCUUGAGAAAACAAAGUUGAAAGAUGAUGGUAGUAAUUACAUGAACUGGGUCCGUAACUUGAGGAUUAUCCUCAUUGCUGCACAGAAGAGUUACGUCCUGGAAGCACCGCUAGGUGCCAGACCCACUGCAGGAGCAACGCCAGAUGUUAUGAACGUCUGGCAGAGCAAAGCUGAUGACCACUCGAUAGUUCAGUGUGUCAUGCUUUACGGCUUAGAAUCAGGACUUGAACGACGUUUUGAACGUCAUGGAGCAUAUGAGAUGUUUCAGGAGUUGAAGUUAAUAUUUCAAGCAAAUGUCCGGAUUGAGAGAAAUGAAGUCUCCAAUAAGUUCUAUAGCUGCAAGAUGGAGGAAAAUAGUUCUGUCAGUGAGCAUAUACUCAAAAUGUCUGGAUAUCAUAACCACUUGACUCAACUGGGAGUUAAUUUUCCUGUUGAUAGUGUCAUUGACAGAGUUCUUCAAUCAUUGCCACCAAGCUAUAAAAGCUUCAUGAUGAACUAUAAUAUGCAAGGGAUGAAUAAGACUAUUCCCGAGCUCUUCGCGAUGCUAAAGGCUGCGGAGGUAGAAAUCAAGAAGGAGCAUCAAGUGUUGAUGGUCAACAAGACCACCAGUUUCAAGAAAAAGGGCAAACGAAAGAAGAAGGGGAACUUAAAAAAAAGGCAAAUAAGUUGCUGCUCAAGAGAAGAAACCCAAGUCUGGACCUAA